UUGACCUCGGAUCAGGUAGGGAUACCCGCUGAACUUAAGCAUAUCAAUAAGCGGAGGAAAAGAAACCAACAGGGAUUGCCCUAGUAACGGCGAGUGAAGCGGCAACAGCUCAAAUUUGAAAUCUGGCGUCUUCGGCGUCCGAGUUGUAAUUUGCAGAGGGCGCUUUGGCAUUGGCAGCGGUCCAAGUUCCUUGGAACAGGACGUCACAGAGGGUGAGAAUCCCGUACGUGGUCGCUAGCCUUUACCGUGUAAAGCCCCUUCGACGAGUCGAGUUGUUUGGGAAUGCAGCUCUAAAUGGGAGGUAAAUUUCUUCUAAAGCUAAAUACUGGCCAGAGACCGAUAGCGCACAAGUAGAGUGAUCGAAAGAUGAAAAGCACUUUGGAAAGAGAGUUAAAAAGCACGUGAAAUUGUUGAAAGGGAAGCGCUUGCAGCCAGACUUGCCUGUAGUUGCUCAUCCGGGUUUUUACCCGGUGCACUCUUCUAUAGGCAGGCCAGCAUCAGUUUGGGCGGUUGGAUAAAGGUCUCUGUCAUGUACCUCUCUUCGGGGAGAACUUAUAGGGGAGACGACAUGCAACCAGCCUGGACUGAG
rnacentral:rRNA from 1 species